UACGAAGGGUGCAAGCGUUGCUCGGAAUUAUUGGGCGUAAAGCGCACGUAGGCGGCUUUGCAAGUCCCAUGUGAAAGCCCACGGCUUAACCGUGGAAGUGCAUGGGAAACUGCAGAGCUUGAGUACUUAAGAGGAUCGCGGAAUUCCCGGUGUAGAGGUGAAAUUCGUAGAUAUCGGGAGGAACACCAGUGGCGAAGGCGGCGAUCUGGGAAGAGACUGACGCUGAGGUGCGAAAGCGUGGGGAGCAAACAGG
rnacentral:rRNA from 1 species